rnacentral:rRNA from 1 species
GGGGUAACGGCCCACCAAGGCACCGAUCGGUAGGGGUUCUGAGAGGAAGGUCCCCCACAUUGGAACUGAGACACGGUCCAAACUCCUACGGGAGGCAGCAGUGAGGAAUAUUGGUCAAUGGGCGGAAGCCUGAACCAGCCAAGUAGCGUGCAGGACGACGGCCCUAUGGGUUGUAAACUGCUUUUAUGCGGGGAUAAAGUGCGCCACGCGUGGCUCAUUGCAGGUACCGCAUGAAUAAGGACCGGCUAAUUCCGUGCCAGCAGCCGCGGUAAUACGGAAGGUCCGGGCGUUAUCCGGAUUUAUUGGGUUUAAAGGGAGCGUAGGCCGCGGGUUAAGUGUGUUGUGAAAUGUGGACGCUCAACGUCCGAUGUGCAGCGCAUACUGGCCCGCUUGAGUGCGCGCAACGCAGGCGGAAUUCGUCGNGUAGCGGUGAAAUGCUUAGAUAUGACGAGGAACCCCGAUUGGGAAGGCAGCUUGCGGGAGCGCAACUGACGCUGAAGCUCGAAAGGUGCGGGUAUCGAACAGGAUUAGAUACCCUGGUAGUCCGCACGGUAAACUAUGGAUGCCCGCUGUCGGCUUUUUUAGCCGGCGGCCAAGCGAAAGCAUUAAGCAUCCCACCUGGGGAGUACGCCGGCAACGGUGAAACUCAAAGGAAUUGACGGGGGCCCGCACAAGCGGAGGAACAUGUGGUUUAAUUCGAUGAUACGCGAGGAACCUUACCCGGGCUUGAAUUGCAGCGGAACGAGGCAGAGAUGCCGAGGUCCUCCGGGACUGCUGCGAAGGUGCUGCAUGGUUGUCGUCAGCUCGUGCCGUGAGGUGUCGGCUUAAGUGCCAUAACGAGCGCAACCCCCCUCUCCAGUUGCCAUCGGGUCGUGCCGGGCACUUUGGAGACACUGCCGCCGCAAGGUGCGAGGAAGGUGGGGACGACGUCAAAUCAGCACGGCCCUUACGUCCGGGGCUACACACGUGUUACAAUGGCCGGUACAGAGGGCAGGUGCUGCGCAAGCCGCAUCGAAUCUUGAAAGCCGGUCCCAGUUCGGACUGGGGUCUGCAACCCGACCCCACGAAGCUGGAUUCGCUAGUAAUCGC